CCCCUCUUAGGGUUGCACCUGGAGAGUUUCCAGUACUGUACCAGUCUCGAGUCUAGGAGGGAGAGUCAAGCAGAGGCCUACCUAUUCCAUUCCCAGCUUGGCCAGUGGCUAGUGAGUGGGAGGAAAUCUGCUACAAGU